CCUACGGGAGGCAGCAGUGAGGAAUAUUGGUCAAUGGGCGCUAGCCUGAACCAGCCAAGUAGCGUGAAGGAUGACUGCCCUAUGGGUUGUAAACUUCUUUUAUAUGGGAAUAAAGUGCAGUAUGUAUACUGCUUUGCAUGUACCUUAUGAAUAAGGAUCGGCUAACUCCGUGCCAGCAGCCGCGGUAAUACGGAGGAUCCGAGCGUUAUCCGGAUUUAUUGGGUUUAAAGGGAGCGUAGGUGGGUUGUUAAGUCAGUUGUGAAAGUUUGCGGCUCAACCGUAAAAUUGCAGUUGAUACUGGCAGCCUUGAGUACAGUAGAGGUAGGCGGAAUUCGUGGUGUAGCGGUGAAAUGCUUAGAUAUCACGAAGAACUCCGAUUGCGAAGGCAGCCUGCUGAACUGUCACUGACGCUGAUGCUCGAAAGUGUGGGUAUCAAACAGGAUUAGAUACCCUUGUAGUC
rnacentral:rRNA from 1 species